AGCAGCCGCGGUAAUUCCAGCUCCAAUAGCGUAUAUUAAAGUUGCUGCAGUUAAAAAGCUCGUAGUUGAAUUUCGGGACUAAUAUGUCGGUCGUGCCUCGGUACGUACUGGUUUAUUGGUUUCUCCUUUCUGAAGAACCAUGAUGUCAUUUAUUUGGUGUCGUGGGGAAUCAGGACUGUUACUUUGAAAAAAUUAGAGUGUUUAAAGCAGGCUCACGCUUGAAUACAUUAGCAUGGAAUAAUGAAAUAGGACGUUUGAUUCUAUUUUGUUAGUUUCUAGGAUCGACGUAAUGAUUAAUAGGGAUAGUUGGGGGCAUUAGUAUUCAACUGUCAGAGGUGAAAUUCUCGGAUUUAUUGAAGACUAACUACUGCGAAAGCAUUUGCCAAGGAUGUUUUCAUUAAUCAAGAACGAAAGUUAGGGGAUCGAAGACGAUCAGAUACCGUCGUAGUCUUAACCAUAAACUAUGCCGACUAGGGAUCGGAUGAUGUUAAUUUUUAAUGACUCAUUCGGCGCCUUACGG
rnacentral:rRNA from 1 species